UCCGACUCGACUCAGCACAGCACAAAUAAACUAAAAACCAGAAAGCUAAUCCCCAGCUAAAGGAUCAGUUCGAAAUGUUGAACUAGAUGAGUCUCCACGAUCAACGAAGCAGAUAAAAGUAUACCACUCUGGAAGGCGCAAAGCAACAGGCAAACAUCAAGUAUUACAGCAAAGUCGCUGCUGCUCAGGAAUCCUAAGGCGUCCCUCCCCUGUCAAUCCCAAACAUCUGUAUCGGGACCCAAAAGAACGCGUCCACAGGUAACCCGAACCUCGGGAAGCGUCCCCUGGACAGCAACAGGCUGUUUAACUCUACUUUUCCUCCCGGGGCAUCAUACUGGGUACAAGGGAGGGCCGGCGAGGCUCAGGCGCGAGGAGCCGGGCCUGAGAGACCAGGUGGGCCCUGAGCCGGGGGCGUUGGGUGGGCAGAGACGACGCCAGGACCGGAGAAUCGAUGCCAGAGACAGAGAGCACUUGCGCCUGGCCGCCGGCGCAGGUGCCCCCACCACCCCGAAGGGUUGCGGUGGCCUUGAAGGGCAGCCCCGAGAUACCAGCCACAUAAGAAGCCGGUGUAAGAGAAAAGGCACUCUCAAGUUGCAACUCUGAUACAGCACCAGUGUGGCAUAGCACUUAAGGCAUGGGUUACCAAACUGCUGGGUUGAAAUCCAAGUCCUCCAAUUACUUGCUGUGUGACCUUGGGAAGACCCCAUAAGCCACGGAGCAACUAAGCCCAUGUGCCACAACUAUUAAGCCUGUGCUCUAGAGCCUGGGAGCCACAGCUACUGAGCCCACGUGCCCGAGAGCCUGUGCUCUGCAACAGGAGAAGCCACCACAGUGAGAAGCCCCUGCGCCACAACUGAAGAGUAGCCCCUGCUUGCUGCAAUGAGAAAAGCCUGUGCAGCAACGAAGACCCAGCACAGCCAAAAAUAAAUAGACCAAUGAGAUUAUUUUUUAAGUGUAAUAU
ensembl:lncRNA